GACGGAGGAUGCAAGCGUUAUCCGGAAUUAUUGGGCGUAAAGCGUCCGCAGGUGGGUUUACAAGUCUGCUGUCAAAGCGCAGAGCUUAACUCUGUACAGGCGGUGGAAACUGUAAGUCUUGAGUAUGGUAGGGGUAGAGGGAAUUCCCGGUGUAGCGGUGAAAUGCGUAGAUAUCGGGAAGAACACCAGUGGCGAAAGCGCUCUACUGGGCCAUAACUGACACUGAGGGACGAAAGCUAGGGGAGCGAAAGGGAUUAGAACCCCUGUAGUCC
rnacentral:rRNA from 1 species